ACCUGGGUAGCUCAGUUAUUAAGCAUCUGACUUCGGCUCAGGUCAUGGUCUCACGGUUUGUGAGUUCGAGUCCCACAUCAGGUG
rnacentral:tRNA from 1 species